rnacentral:misc_RNA from 1 species
GAUGAAGAACGCAGCGAAAUGCGAUAAGUAAUGUGAAUUGCAGAAUUCAGUGAAUCAUCGAAUCUUUGAACGCACAUUGCGCCCGCCGGCACUCCGGCAGGCAUGCCUGUCCGAGCGUCAUUUCAACCCUCAGGCCCGAACCCCCCCGGGGGGGGCGGGCCUGGUGUUGGGGCUCGGGGUCCGCGAGGCCCCCGUCCCCUAAAUCCAGUGGCGGUCGCGCCGCACCCUCCCCUGCGUAGUAGCACACCUCGCUCCGGAGAGCAGCGCGUCCACGCCGUGAAACCCCCAACUUACCAAGGUUGACCUCGGAUCAGGUAGGAAUACCCGCUGAACUUAAGCAUAUCAAUAAGCGGAGGA